CGGCGUAGUGUCCAUUUGGGGAGUGAACCAACGGAAGGAAGACCUUUCUCUCUGUCUCUCUCUCAUUGUCUAUAACUCUACCUGUCAAAUAAAAAAAAAAUCAGGUGGGACAAAAUUGUAAUACAAAGUAAUAAACAUUUAAGUCCUUAGCAAAAAUGCACUCAUUUAUUCAUUCUACAGGCUGUUGACCAAGGAUUCCAGUAGGGAGUGAGGAUAUGAAGAGAAAACAUGGGCCCAAGUCAAGGAGCUGGCACUCUAGUGUUGGGAGGUGCACAUGAAAUCAGCAUUCAGUGACCAAGGACUCACCACGCCAAACAGGAGUCGGGCUGUGGCUGGGACCAGGUGGCCAGGACGGUGGCGCUACACUGUUAUCAGCGCUCAGGCAGGCCGCACGUGCAGAUUUUCAGUUUAAUCCAUGUCGGCCUGAGGAGGCAAGCCUUAUCUCCUGUGCUUGGUGCAGGAAGCCAGCCAGAAGGUAACUAGCCUGGGGCGUCACACCCUGAGCCAGGGCAGAAGCCAGGAGGGUCAAAGCCUGUGUUCUGUCUAUUUUCCCUCUUCUCUGGCUGACUUAGAAGCUCUUUGUUUGGACAAGGAAAUGUGUUGUUUCCUGUUGGGAAGAUAUUCUAGGAGCCUUAUUCAUCUGGAAUAAAGCAAAAGCAAGCUGAUGACCUAGGGCUGGAGAGGCAGGGAGAAGACAGCAGCCACGCCUUCAGAAUGCAAGAGCAGUGCCAGCAGGCCCCUCAGAGCCUCAGGGCUGCGAUGCGAGGAGCAGGUGGCUGAGGCACCUGGCACAGAGGCUCUGGCGGAGGGAGGGGGGGUGCCUGAGGCUGAUCGGACAGAGCAUGCAAGUACAGAGCCAAUGCCACGGUUGAGGAAAUAAGAGGACUGGGAGCAUCACCUGGGAAAGGCCAGAGUAAAGAGUGGAUUGGGGCCGGCGCUGUGGCGCAGCGGGUUAAAGCGCUGGCCUGAAGCAUCAGCAUCCCAUAUGGGCGCCGGUUCUAGUCCUGGCUGUUCCUCGUCCGAUCCAGCUCUCUGCUAUGGCCUGGAAUAACAGUAGAAGAUGGCCCAAGUCCUUGGGCCCCUGCACCCAUGUGGGAGACCCGGAAGAAGCUCCUGGCUCCUGGCUUCAGAUCAGCACAGCUCUGCCAUUGCGGCCAUCUGGGGAGUGAACCAGCGGUUGGAAGGCCCCUCUCUCUCUCUCUCUCUCUCUCUCUCUCCUGCCUCUCUGUAACUCUUUCAAAUAAAUAAAAUCUUAAAAAAAAAAAAAUAGUGGAUUAUCAGAGCUGGUAUGUGGUGUAGUGGGUAAAGCCACUGCCUGUAUCCCAUACAGGUGCUGGUUCAAGACCUGGCUGCUCCUCUUCCGAUCUAGCUCUCUGGUAUGGCCUAGGAAAGCAGAGAAAGAUGGCCCAAGUGCUUGGGCCCCUGAACCCAGGUGGGAGACCCAGAAGAAGCUCUGGGCUUCUGGCUUUGGCCUGGCACAGCCCCAGCUGUUGAGGCCAUUU